CUUGGCAGUUCUUGAGGAGGGGGUACACCUGUACCCAUUUCGAACACAGUAGUUAAGCCCUCCAUCGCCGAUGUUACUGCGGCUUGACCGUGGGAAAGUAGGUCGCUGCCAAGA
rnacentral:rRNA from 1 species